GAGACUCUGUGCGCGUGCAUAUCAAUAAGCGGAGGAAAAGAAACUAACAAGGAUUCCCUUAGUAACGGCGAGUGAAGCGGGAAGAGCUCAAAUUUGAAAUCUUCAAGGUUUUACCUUGACGAAUUGUAGUUUAAAGAAGUGUUUUCUGUUGAAGUUUUGGUAAAAGUUCUUUGGAAUAGGACAUCAUAGAGGGUGAGAAUCCCGUAUUUGACCAUUAUUUUCAGCUGUGUGAUACACUUUCAAAGAGUCGGAUUGUUUGGGAAUGCAGUCCAAAAUGGGUGGUAAAUUUCAUCUAAAGCUAAAUAUUGGCGAGAGACCGAUAGCGAACAAGUACCGUGAGGGAAAGAUGAAAAGAACUUUGAAAAGAGAGUUAAACAGUACGUGAAAUUGUCAAAAGGGAAGCGUUUGACACCAGUGUUGUUUUAGUUGAAAAUCAAUUCAAUAAAGUUUCGGAUUUUAGUAGUAUUGACUUCAUCAGCUUGCUGCUUUCUUUUCAGGAAUUAUUGAAUGCACUUUUCAGUUAACAAGUCAACAUCAAUUUCUUUUGUUGUAAAAGGGUAAGAGGAAGGUGGCUUACGCUUCGGCGUAAGUGUUUAUAGCCUUUUACCUCUGCAAUCGGAGAGAUUGAGGACAGCAGCGUAGACUCUUCGGGGUUAGAUACACUUGUGCUAAGCUAUAGCCUUGUAUAGACAACUUGUUGACUAUGCUCAGUCAUGUAGCUUACUCGCUUGUGCUAUUUUACCUACGCUUAGGAUGUUGAACUCUAUCACACACAG
rnacentral:rRNA from 1 species